CCGGCGCACGGGUGAGUAACACGUAUCCAACCUGCCGUCUACUCUUGGCCAGCCUUCUGAAAGGAAGAUUAAUCCAGGAUGGGAUCAUGAGUUCACAUGUCCGCAUGAUUAAAGGUAUUUUCCGGUAGACGAUGGGGAUGCGUUCCAUUAGAUAGUAGGCGGGGUAACGGCCCGCCUAGUCAACGAUGGAUAGGGGUUCUGAGAGGAAGGUCCCCCACAUUGGAACUGAGACACGGUCCAA
rnacentral:rRNA from 1 species